rnacentral:rRNA from 1 species
UACGUAGGGACCGAGCGUUGUCCGGAUUCAUUGGGCGUAAAGAGCUCGUAGGCGGCUGUUCAAGUCGAACGUGAAAACUCGGAGCUCAACUCCGAGCCUGCGUUCGAUACUGGACGGCUAGAGUCUGGUAGGGGGGAUCUGGAAUUCCUGGUGUGAGCGGUGGGAAUGCGCAGAUAUCAGGAGGAACACCGGUGGCGAAGGCGGGGAUCCUGGGCCAGUACUGACGCUGAGGAGCGAAAGCGUGGGGAGCAAACAGG